GUGGGGAAUAUUGGACAAUGGGCGAAAGCCUGAUCCAGCCAUGCCGCGUGUGUGAAGAAGGUCUUCGGAUUGUAAAGCACUUUAAGUUGGGAGGAAGGGCAGUAAGUUAAUACCUUGCUGUUUUGACGUUACCGACAGAAUAAGCACCGGCUAACUUCGUGCCAGCAGCCGCGGUAAUACGAAGGGUACAAGCGUUAAUCGGAAUUACUGGGCGUAAAGCGCGCGUAGGUGGUUUUGUAAGUUGGAGGGGAAAUACCCGGGCUCAACCUGGGAACUGCCUCCAAAACUGCAUGACUAGAGUACGGUAGAGGGUAGUGGAAUUUCCUGUGUAGCGGUGAAAUGCGUAGAUAUAGGAAGGAACACCAGUGGCGAAGGCGACUACCUGGACUGAUACUGACACUGAGGUGCGAAAGCGUGGGGAGUAAACAGGAUUAGAAACCCGUGUAGUCC
rnacentral:rRNA from 1 species